UACGUAGGGGGCAAGCGUUGUCCGGAUUUAUUGGGCGUAAAGAGCGUGUAGGCGGCCAGGUAGGUCAGCUGUGAAAACUCGAGGCUCAACCUCGAGACGCCGGUUGAAACCAUCUGGCUAGAGUCCGGAAGAGGAGAGUGGAAUUCCUGGUGUAGCGGUGGAAUGCGCAGAUAUCAGGAGGAACACCAAUAGCGAAGGCAGCUCGCUGGGACGGUACUGACGCUAAGGCGCGAAAGCGUGGGAGCGAACGAGG
rnacentral:rRNA from 1 species